AUGCAGCGACAAUCCAUGUCAGAAUAAUGGUACAUGCACAAGUUUAUCAAGUACGGAAUACACUUGUUCGUGUACAAAAGGAUACGCAGGAAAGAACUGUGAAGAAGUUUACGGCAACGUGGCAGACAUUGCAUUCCUCGUUGACGCAUCCGGAAGUGUUGGACUUGACAAUGUGGACAAAAUGAAGGAGUUCGUUUACUCAGUAGUAGAAAAACUAUCCAUCGGUUGAACUGAUGAUAGGGUUGGUCUUGUCUCCUACAGCUCAGAUCCACAAUUAGGAUUCCAUCUGGACAGUUUCUUCACAAAGAAGGACAUUAACAAUGCUAUUUCCGCCAUGCAGUAUCGUUAUGGCAGUACGAAUACCGCUGCAGGAUUAAAGAUGGUCCGACAAGAGAUAUUUAACAUCCGAAAUGGCGAUAGAUCUAAUGUACCCAAUACAUUAAUCAUGAUCACGGACGGUAACUCUAACGUCAACAGCAUCGAUACAAUACCCGAUAGUAUCCGACUGAGGGAGGCCGGUGUUCACAUCUUUGUUAUUGCCAUCAAUUUCGCAGGCGAUAUGUACCGACAGGAAAUGGAUGACAUUGCCUCCCAGCCCCCGGAUCAAAACGUCUUCUGGGUCAUCAGCUUAUCGGAACUUCCAGAAGUAGGAAGUGCAGUUUUCAACAAAUUAUCUUCACCGGAUACGGUAUGAAUAAGGACAUUUGCGACACCAACGAAAUAAAAUGUAAACAUGGUGGCCGAUGUGUAGCCACAGCAGUCACUGGUUCCUUCCGGUGUGAGUGUAUUCAAGGAUUUACCGGCGAAUUUUGCGAGAUCGCAUGUCCUAGCAGGUUUGAUGUUGCGUUUGUCAUCGGUUCCUCUGUAAGUGUUGGGCUACACAACUUUGGACUCAUCCGAAACUUCUAGAAACAACAAAUUUGCCAUAAUCACCUUCAACUCAGAAGCCAAUGUUGCUUUCAGUUUCGGACGUAACUCAGACUUAAAUGGCCUCAAAAGUGCGGUAGCAGGCGUGAGAUUCAAGCCAGGGGGCACCAACACUGCACUGGCGCUGAGGACCGCUCAUGGUCUUUUACAAAACGACUAUGGAGCCAGGCGAUCGGCGCAGGACGUUGUCAUUCUGGUCACAGAUGAGGCGUCCAACAUAGACGCCCAGGAGACGCUUCCAGCAGCCAAGGAGUUGAAGGACGCCGGGACCCACGUGAUAGCUAUUGGAAUGGACCUGGAUACCGCCGGACGGGCCGCGGCCCAAGAGGUAAAGGACAUUGCCUCUUCCGACGAUCGUGCCAUGAAUAAACUCAACAGCUACAGUGCGUUGAAGGGAAUCGAAAGUGACGUCAUUAACCAAAUGUGCGAGUUUGGUAGAAAUGGUAGAAAAUAGUCUCAUGAUAUAUUUAUUUUUCAUUCCAUAUAGGGUAACUUAAACAAUUUGCGUAGUACCGGUAUAUUGUUACUAAGUUCAGCAGCACUGUUUUAUUUUGUUGUGAGAGUGACUAUAUUAACUUUGUAUUCAUAUAAUGUUUGAGUAUGUACAUGUGUAAUUGUGUAUAUGUAUGUGCCGAUUAGUUUAGAUUUUAUUGUAGAUAAUAUUCAUAAAGAGAGUGGCAUUAGAUUUUUAAACGUAUUCACAUUGUGUGAGAUUAUCAUAAAACAUUUAUGAUAUCAAUAAUCAAAUCAUCUAUCUAUUGUCGUUUUGCAUGCCUUAUUUAUGGAUCAAUUCUUAAAAUAAUUUUUCAGCGGUAAGUGAUUUUUGCAAGGCAAACAACUUUGCACUAUAUAACUUUGUAAUAAAAUUAUUUUUACG
rnacentral:misc_RNA from 1 species